AAGACAGAUGUGAAAUCCCCGGGCUUAACCUGGGAACUGCAUUUGUGACUGCCAAGCUCGAGUCUGUCAGAGGGGGGUGGAAUUCCACGUGUAGCAGUGAAAUGCGUAGAGAUGUGGAGGAACAUCGAUGGCGAAGGCAGCCCCCUGGGAUGAGACUGACGCUCAUGUACGAAAGCGUGGGGAGCAAACAGGAUUAGAUACCUUGGUAGUCCACGCCCUAAACGAUGUUGACUAGUUGUCGGGAAUUCAUUUUCUCGGUAACGCAGCUAACGCGUGAAGUCGACCGCCUGGGGAGUACGGUCGCAAGAUUAAAACUCAAAGGAAUUGACGGGGACCCGCACAAGCGGUGGAUGAUGUGGAUUAAUUCGAUGCAACGCGAAAAACCUUACCUACCCUUGACAUGCCCGGAAUCCCGCAGAGAUGUGGGAGUGCCCGAAAGGGAGCCGGGGCACAGGUGCUGCAUGGCUGUCGUCAGCUCGUGUCGUGAGAUGUUGGGUUAAGUCCCGCAACGAGCGCAACCCUUGUCACUAGUUGCUACGAAAGGGCACUCUAGUGAGACUGCCGGUGACAAACCGGAGGAAGGUGGGGAUGACGUCAAGUCCUCAUGGCCCUUAUGGGUAGGGCCUCACACGUCAUACAAUGGCCGGUACAAAGGGCUGCCAACCCGCGAGGGGGAGCCAAUCCUGGAAAGCCGGUCGUAGUCCGGAUUGCAGUCUGCAACUCGACUGCAUGAAGUCGGAAUCGCUAGUAAUCGUGGAUCAGCAUGUCACGGUGAAUACGUUCCCGGGUCUUGUACACACCGCCCGUCACACCAUGGGAGUGGGGUUCACCAGAAGCCGUUUGCCUAACCGCAAGGGGGGCGGCGACCACGGUGAGCUUCAUGACUGGGGUGAAAUGGUAACAAGGUAGCCGUAUCGGAAGGUGCGGCUGGAUCACUUC
rnacentral:rRNA from 1 species